UUUUUGUUAACAUUAGGGAUGUCAACGAUAAUCAUAUCUGAUGUGAUGAUAGUUUACGUGCAUUUAAAUAUUUUUUACUGGAGAAAGCGUUUUGUUAUAUUAUACUUUAAAAGGACUCUAAUAUUUACAUAUGGAAAAACUGAAAGAUUUUGGUAGACAGUGCUCUUACGAAGAUCUAAUUAAUUAAAAAAACGUUGUUUUCAAUUAUCGCUAACAUUGUUCCAUAUUCUGAGUAUGAAUUUGUGAAGUAGAAAUCAUGAAGUAUUUAAAUGAAAUCGAGAAUUCUUGACGUGGUAUUUGUGAAAUCAUGAAAUCGUGAAUAAUUAAAUUCUUGAAUUUUUGACCUGAACUACGGAAAUCGUGAAUUCAUGAAGUUGUGAAAUAUUGAAUAAUUAAAAUCUUGAAUUAGUGAAAUUCUGAAAUAUUGAAAUCGAGAAUUUUUUGAAAUUGUGAAUUACUGAAAUAUUGAAUUAUUGAAUAAUUGAAAUAUUGAAUUUUCGACAUGAAACAUGGAAAUCGUGAAUAAUUGAAAUCGAGAAUUUUUGAAAUUGUGAAUUACUGAAAUAUUGACUUACUGAAAUCUUGAUUUUUUGACAUGAAAUAUGGAAAUCGUAAAUUUAUGAAGUUGUGAAUUAUUGAAUAAUUGAAAUGUUGAAUUAUUGAAUAAUUGAAAUGUUGAAUUUGUGAAAUUGUGAAUUAUUGAAAUGGAAAUCGAGAAUUCUUGAAAUUAUGAAUUAUUGAAAUACUGAAUUUGGAAAUCGCGAAUUAAUGAAAUUAAGGAACUCAAGAAUUCACGAAUUCAUGAAAUCAUGAAUUCACGACUUUUGUGUGAAAUUUGGAAAAUGUAAAUUAUUGAAUUUGAAGAAUUAACGAUUUCAAGAAAUCAUGAUUUUUGAGUGAAAUUUAGAAAUCGUGAAUUUAUGAAUUGGCGUUGUAGAGAGGGUGGACGCCCGACACGCCCGGGUGGUGGCCAUCCUGGUAAGGUCUGGUUUCCGAGCAGGGGUGGACUUUUGCGUUUUGUAAGGAACGCUCGAAAACGCUAUAUCGCCUCCAGCAGUUGAUUGCCUGGCCGUUACUGUAGAAGAAACAGGGGUGCCAUCGGGUGGGCGUUGUAGAGCGGGUAGACGCCCGACACGCCCGGGUGGUGGCCAUCCUGGUUAAGGUCUGGUUUCCGAGCAGGGGUGGACUUUUGCGUUUGGUAUUCUAUAUAAAUGAUGCAAUCGGGCUGGUCAGUUUCAAAGAUAAUUCAAUAUACACGGGUAUGAAAAAUGUGCCGCACUGAAAUGAAGGCAUCGCGCUUCCGACGGCGCAGGCAUUGCGCAGGAUGUUUACAAAAAUAACGAGUAAGACAUAAUUCGACAUGACUUACCACUGUGAAACAUGUGGAGUUACAUUUCAAAAGCUAAGCCAGCUUUUACAACAUCGACGGACAGAAAAUCACUGGCCAAAGUUUCCAUGUCCAAACUGCAAGAAAACGUUUAAAGGGAUUUACAUAGCGGUGAAAACAGCCAUCAUUGUCCGGAUUGUUUACGAGUGUUUACUCGACGUGGAGCCUUAGAUGAUCAUUUUGAUAGGUUUCAUAACCAGACUGGAGGUGCACAAAAAAGGUCCUCUACAAAUACCGAUGAAGGUCCGCUUGUAAAGAAGCUUAGGAAGGACGAUGAUCCUAAACAGUUUUAUAGUGUAAGGAAAAUUAGAGAGCAGAAAAUAGAAAAGUUUAAGACAACUGGUUCCACAUACAAGGUCAACUUUAAAAAUAUUGAGGUGACUGAAGAUGUGCUACUCACACUGAAAAGAAUAUUCAAAGCCAUAUUUGAAGACAUCACCAAGGGAGCUAAGUCAAAGGAUUUAGUAAGAUUAGUUGUGGAGUGUC